rnacentral:rRNA from 1 species
GAUGAACGCUGGCGGCGUGUCUAAUACAUGCAAGUCGAGCGAACGGACGAGAAGCUUGCUUCUCUGAUGUUAGCGGCGGACGGGUGAGUAACACGUGGAUAACCUACCUAUAAGAUUGGGAUAACUUCGGGAAACCGGAGCUAAUACCGGAUAAUAUUUUGAACCGCAUGGUUCAAAAGUGAAAGACGGUCUUGCUGUCACUUAUAGAUGGAUCCGCGCUGCAUUAGCUAGUUGGUAAGGUAACGGCUUACCAAGGCAACGAUGCAUAGCCGACCUGAGAGGGUGAUCGGCCACACUGGAACUGAGACACGGUCCAGACUCCUACGGGAGGCAGCAGUAGGGAAUCUUCCGCAAUGGGCGAAAGCCUGACGGAGCAACGCCGCGUGAGUGAUGAAGGUCUUCGGAUCGUAAAACUCUGUUAUUAGGGAAGAACAUAUGUGUAAGUAACUGUGCACAUCUUGACGGUACCUAAUCAGAAAGCCACGGCUAACUACGUG